rnacentral:snRNA from 1 species
AUCUUUGCGCAGUGGCAGUAACAUAGCCAAUGAGAUUUAUCCGAGGCAUGUUUUAUUGCUAGUUGAAAACCAUACCAAAUACCCUGCCCUUACCUUUAGCGGUGGGUUUUGUAUGAUUAAGACUUCUUUCUCAGUUUAAAUAGAA